CAUAAAUAAUCGCAAUUUUAAAAAAUUCGGGUUGAGGCUGCACGCAGGCUAUAGUGGUAUUUUAUAUUUAUAUUAGAGAGGUAUGCUGUCGCCUGUAUGCAGUGGGUACGUUUAUUAUUCAGGACUAGCAGACGUCUAGUUGGUACAGAUUUGGAUGGCAACAAAUACUAUGAAGUACUUCAAGGUAUAAAUGUAUAAGCUGUACGUGGAUAUUUAUUGGACACCGGAUUAAGUCCGGUGUCCCAG